AGCGUAGACGGUGUGGCAAGUCUGAUGUGAAAGGCAUGGGCUCAACCUGUGGACUGCAUUGGAAACUGUCAUACUUGAGUGCCGGAGGGGUAAGCGGAAUUCCUAGUGUAGCGGUGAAAUGCGUAGAUAUAUGGAGGAACACCGGUGGCGAAAGCGGCUCUCUGGUCUGUAACUGACGCUGAGGCUCGAAAGGCGUGGGAGCGAACA
rnacentral:rRNA from 1 species